rnacentral:rRNA from 1 species
UACGGAGGGGGCGAGCGUUGUCCGAAGUUACUGGGCGUAAAGCGCGUGUAGGCGGGUUGUCAAGUCCGCUGUGAAAGCCCGAGGCUCAACCUCGGAGGGUCGGUGGAUACUGACAGUCUUGAAGGUGCUAGGGGGAGAUGGAAUUACCGGUGUAGCGGUGAAAUGCGUAGAGAUCGGUAGGAACACCAGUGGCGAAGGCGGUCUCCUGGGGCAUUCUUGACGCUGAGACGCGAAAGCUGGGGGGAGCGAACGGG